AGCCACUCACACACCAGCAGCACAAUGAUGAUGUCACUGACUCUACUGCUGGCCACCCUGGGGCUCCUUGUUCAGGGUUCAUCAGCAGAAAUCAUCCUGACUCAGACUCCUAAAGCUCACUCUGCUGUUCUUGGACAGACUGUCUCUAUCAGAUGUAAAUCCAGUUCAAGUAUGGGUAGCUACCUCCACUGGUAUCUUCAGAAACCCUCAGAAGCUCCUAAACUGCUCGUUUAUUAUGCAACAAACCGUCAGUCUGGAGUUUCUGAUCGUUUCAGUGGAAGUGGAUCUGGGACUGACUUCACUUUGACCAUCAGUGGAGUUCAGGCUGAAGAUGCAGGAGUUUAUUACUGUCAGCAGGGUUACAGCUUCCCGUUCACACAGUGA